GUGCUCUCUCUGGUAGCACAUAUACUCAAAUUGGAAUGAUACAGAGAAGAUUAGCAUGGUCCUGCGCAAGGAUGACACGCAAAUUCCUGAGGCAUUCCAUAUUUUU
ensembl:snRNA U6 U6 spliceosomal RNA